rnacentral:sRNA from 1 species
GUGAUACGCUUCAUGUCUCUUUCGUCGUCAU